rnacentral:rRNA from 1 species
AUCAAAAACAUGUCUCCUUGUAGUUGUCACAGAUAAGGAGUCGAACCUGCCCGGUGAAUAUUUUUAACGGCCGCGGUACCCUGACCGUGCGAAGGUAGCGUAAUUAUUUGCCUUAUAAUUGGAGGCUUGUAUGAAUGGUUUGACUUGAGUGAAUCUGUCUCUUUAUAGUUCUGUAGAAUUUUAUUUUUAGGUGAAGAAGCCUAAAUUAAAUUAAAAGACAAGAAGACCCUAUCGAGCUUUAAAUAAAUUAAUUGGUAAUGUUAAUAUUUAUAAGUAUGGUUGUUUGGCUAACUAUAGUUGUUCUUAGUAGAAUAUAUAGUAAUAAUGUACAUUAUUAUAUAAAACAUUGACUGUUAAGAUUUUUUGGUUGGGGCGACUAAGGAACAGACAAAGCUUCCUUGAUUUAUAGGACUUGCGUGUGUUGAUCCAGAAUUUCUGAUUUAAGGAAUUAGUUACCGUAGGGAUAACAGCAUAAUCUUCUUUGAGAGUUCAUAUCGAAAAGGGGGUUUGUGACCUCGAUGUUGGACCAGGAUGUCCUGAAGAUGUAGAAGUCUUUGAGGGUUGGUCUGUUCGACCAUUAAAAUUCUACGUGAUCUGAGUUAAGACCGGCGUGAGCCAGGUCGGUUUCUAUCUUUAAUUUUUAUUUGUAGGCUUAGUACGAAAGGAUCAGCCUAUAGUAUUAAAUGUUGUUUUUUGAAGAUAUAUAAUUUUUAAGUUAUCAAAUUAGCAGAAUUUAAUGCAAUUGAUUUAGGAUCAAUAGGUAUAGGCGGAAUUCCUUUAUUUGAUAUAUUUGGCACUUGCAUAAAGAUGGCAGACUUAGUGCAUUAGGUUU